AACCCACUCACGUCCCCUUCCAUGCUAUGGAAGCUCUGUUCUUUUGCUCUUUGCAAUAAAUCUUGCUGCUGCUCACUCUUUGGGUCCACACUGCCUUUAUGAGCCAUAACACUCACCGCGAAGGUCUGCAACUUCUCUCCAGAGGCCAGCAAGACCACGAACCCACUGGGAGGAAUGAACAACUCCGGACGGGAGGAACGAACCACUCUGGACGCACCGCCUUAAGAGCUAUAACACUCACUGCGAAGGUCUGCAGCUUCAUUCCUGAAGCCAGCGAGACCACGAACCCACCAGAAGGAAGAAACUCUGAACACACCCAAACAUCAGAAGGAACAAACUCCGAACACAUCAGAAGGAACAAACUGCGGACAUGCCGCCUUUAAGAACUGUAACACUCACCACGAGAUUCUGCGGCUUCAUUCUUGAAGUCAGUGAGACCAAGAACCCACCAAUUCCGGAUACAUUUUGGUGACCCAGAUGGGACUAUUACCUAUCGCCAAGCGGUGAGACCACUGCCUAUCGCUGAGCGGUGAGACUAUCACCUAUCGCCAAGCAAUGGGAAACAUUCAGCCAUCAACAGGCUCACCCUUGAAAUGCAUCCUAAGCCGUUGGGACCAAUUUGACCCAUAAACCCUGAAAAAGAGGAGGCUCAUUUUUUUUCUGCACUAUGGCCUGGCCCCAGUAUUCUCUCUCUGAUGGGGAAAAAUGGCCACCUGAGGGAAGUACAAAUUACAAUACUAUCCUGCAGCUUGACCUUUUCUGUAAGAGGGAAGGCAAAUGGAGUGAAAUACCUUAUGUCCAAGCUUUCUUUUCAUGGAGGGAGAAUACACAACUAUGCAAAGCUUACAAUUUACAUCCCACAGGAGGACCUCUCAGCUUACCACCAUAUCCUAGCCUCCCUAUAGCUCCCAUUCCUAUUAAUGAUAAUCUUCCUCUAAUCUCCCCUGCCCAGAAGGAAAUAUGCAAAGAAAUCUCCAAAGGACCACAAAACCCUCCUGGCUAUUGGUUAUGUCCCCUUCAAGCUGUAGGGGGAGGGGAAUUUGGUCCCACCCGGGUACAUGUCCCCUUCUCCAUCUCUGAUUUAAAGCAGAUCAAGGCAGACCUGGGGAAGUUUUCAGAUGAUCCUGAUAGGUACAUACAUGCCCUACAGGGUCUAGGGCAAACUUUCGACCUCGCUUGGAGAGAUGUCAUGCUACUGUUAGAUCAAACCCUGGCCUUUAAUGAAAAGAAUGCAGCUUUAGCUGCAGCCUGAGAGUUUGGAGAUACCUGGAAUCUUAAUCAAGUAAAUGAUAGAAUGACACCUGAAGAAAGGGACAAAUUCCCUAUCGGUCAGCAAGCCAUCCCCAGUAUGGAUCCCCACUGGGACCUUGACUUAGAUCAUGGGGACUGGAGUCGUA
rnacentral:lncRNA from 1 species